rnacentral:rRNA from 1 species
UACGUAGGGUCCGAGCGUUGUCCGGAAUUAUUGGGCGUAAAGGGCUCGUAGGCGGUCUGUUGCGUCGGGAGUGAAAACUUACAGCUUAACUGUGAGCGUGCUUCCGAUACGGGCAGACUUGAGGUAUUCAGGGGAGAACGGAAUUCCUGGUGUAGCGGUGAAAUGCGCAGAUAUCAGGAGGAAUACCGAUGGCGAAGGCAGGUCUCUGGGCUAGAACUGACGCUCAUGCACGAAAGCGUGGGGAGCAAACAGG